rnacentral:rRNA from 1 species
AGCCGCCUAAGGUGGGAUAAAUGAUUGGGGUGAAGUCGUAACAAGGUAGCCGUAUCGGAAGGUGCGGCUGGAUCACCUCCUUUCUAAGGAA